rnacentral:rRNA from 1 species
GAUGAACGCUAGCGGCAGGCCUAAUACAUGCAAGUCGAGGGGCAGCAGGAAUAGCAAUAUUCGCUGCCGACCGGCGCACGGGUGCGUAACACGUAUACAAUCUGCCUUUAACAGGGGGAUAGCCCGGAGAAAUCCGGAUUAAUACCCCAUAACAGUGAUCUUGGCAUCAAGGACACUUAAAAGCUCCGGCGGUUAAAGAUGAGUAUGCGUCUGAUUAGCUAGUUGGUGAGGUAACGGCUCACCAAGGCGACGAUCAGUAGGGGAUCUGAGAGGAUUAACCCCCACACGGAUACUGAGACACGGAUCCGACUCCUACGGGAGGCAGCAGUAAGGAAUAUUGGACAAUGCCCGCAAGGGUGAUCCAGCCAUGCCGCGUGCAGGAAGGCGGCCCUAUGGGUUGUAAACUGCUUUUACACCGGAGAAAACCCCACUACGUGUAGUGGGCUGAUAGUAUGGUGAGAAUAAGCAUCGGCUAACUUCGUGCCAGCCGCCGCAGUAA